rnacentral:rRNA from 1 species
AUUUAAUUAAGAGUUUGAUCCUGGCUCAGGACGAACGCUGGCGGCGCGCCUAACACAUGCAAGUCGAGCGGGGUAAUGUCCAACACAGAGUGGUGGAACGAAGCAGACAGAGAGCAGUAAGUAACAUCCAACACUGUGUGUUGGAUGUUACUUAGCGGCGGACGGGUGAGUAACACGUGAGCAAUCUGCCUUUCAGAGGGGGAUAACGUUUGGAAACGAACGCUAAUACCGCAUGAUAUACCUAGGUCGCAUGACCUUGGUAUCAAAGGAGCAAUCCGCUGAAAGAUGAGCUCGCGUCCGAUUAGGUAGUUGGUGAGGUAACGGCCCACCAAGCCUGCGAUCGGUAGCCGGACUGAGAGGUCGAACGGCCACAUUGGGACUGAGACACGGCCCAGACUCCUACGGGAGGCAGCAGUGGGGGAUAUUGCACAAUGGAGGAAACUCUGAUGCAGCGACGCCGCGUGAGGGAAGAAGGUCUUCGGAUUGUAAACCUCUGUCUUCGGGGACGAUAAUGACGGUACCCGAGGAGGAAGCCACGGCUAACUACGUGCCAGCAGCCGCGG